GGCGGGGCUAAAAAGACCACAGACUCUCAAGAAUGGAUCCAAAAAACCAUCCAGUGCCUAAGUAGCAGAAGCCAUUCUCUGUCCCGGCUGUGACAAUGGAGCCGGGGCUGGGGCCUGGCUGCUACAGUGCCCGCCCGGUGUGCAGGAGACCCCAUUCCAUCCCCAGCCCCACAAGAAGAGUAGGUAAACAGGCCAUGUGGACACCCAACUGUUCUCUGCUCCCUCUUCCCUUCUGAGGCUGUUGCUAGCACUCCUUAGAAGAAAGCUGCUUCCUGCUGCUUCCUGUAAGCGCAUCAGUCAGCCUCUCAAUCGACAGGUAUUUUCUUUCUCUCUCUCUCUUUCUUCUUUCUUUUUUUGGUGCUGGGGAUCAAACUAAAUCCUCUGCCCCUGAACAGGUAUUUUCUAAGCAAUUCAGGUGGAAACUCACCACAAAUCUAUACAAUGACAAAGCACUGAGUCAUGUUUUGGGGAGAACCCUGCCCUCUAAUGGCAAAGUGUCACCCACCCAUAUAGGCCGUGGGCAGUCAGGGAG